rnacentral:rRNA from 1 species
GCCUACGGGAGGCAGCAGUGGGGAAUUUUCCGCAAUGGGCGAAAGCCUGACGGAGCAACGCCGCGUGAGGGAUGAAGGCCUCUGGGCUGUAAACCUCUUUUAUCAAGGAAGAAGAUCUGACGGUACUUGAUGAAUAAGCCACGGCUAAUUCCGUGCCAGCAGCCGCGGUAAUACGGGAGUGGCAAGCGUUAUCCGGAAUUAUUGGGCGUAAAGCGUCCGCAGGCGGCCCUUCAAGUCUGCUGUUAAAAAGUGGAGCUUAACUCCAUCAUGGCAGUGGAAACUGUUGGGCUUGAGUGUGGUAGGGGCAGAGGGAAUUCCCGGUGUAGCGGUGAAAUGCGUAGAUAUCGGGAAGAACACCAGUGGCGAAGGCGCUCUGCUGGGCCAUCACUGACGCUCAUGGACGAAAGCCAGGGGAGCGAAAGGGAUUAGAUACCCCUGUAGUCCUGGCCGUAAACGAUGAACACUAGGUGUCGGGGAAUCGACCCCCUCGGUGUCGUAGCCAACGCGUUAAGUGUUCCGCCUGGGGAGUACGCACGCAAGUGUGAAACUCAAAUGAAUUGACGG